rnacentral:lncRNA from 1 species
CUUCCUCGGGGUUAGCAGGGGCCUGGAGUGGAUGUUUAGUCUACCGGUCAGACUCCAGGUCUUAUAUCUUGAAACUGUAAGUCCCUGAAUUCACAGACAAUUCAGAGUAAGGAUGGAGGCAAAGAAGAGGACCUUGGGUUUACUGUUCACGAGAUGACCUCAUAAAGGUGUUCAGUGAUGAAGAGGAGUGGCUGAAGAGGUAAGGAGAACACUCAAAGCAACAACAGCAAAACGUACAGUAUGAAGGGGGUAGUCAUAAGGUCAGUCCAUAACCCUGCCAGCAUCAUCCAGAUAGAAGUGGAUCUGCUAUCCCUCCCCACACCUGACUUCACUACCUGCACACCCACAAGCAGGGCAGCACUAGCCCCCAGUGCUCUUCUGUGCAUAUUAGAGUCUUCCCUGGAGGGCUCAGUACCUUGCUGGGACUCAUGGCAUGGGGAGCAGAACCCAGGCUGAAUUUCAGUCCCUACAAGGUUUUAAGUACAGGGAUCAGCCUGCACAACCGAAUGGGAGGCCCGGCCCUCAUCUGCCCUUCUGUAACUUGUCUUUCCCUGCCAGGCCUCCCUCGGAGCUCAUUGUUGAAAUCUGGCAUCCAGAGCUAUGGAUUCCCCGCUCUGCCAUUUACAAACUGUAUGAUUAGGGCUCAUCAGUUCAUCUCUCUGAGUUACUUUCUUUUCUGAAAUGGAGGUAGGGCUACUUCUCUCACAUGGCUUUAUGAGGGUGAAGUGGUUUCCAAUGAGCACUCAUCUGGAUAUUCUAGGCCCAUCCACUCACAUAGCUAAUGACACUCCUUCUUUACAAGAUGAAGGAUUAGGAGAUGAUUUUAAAUCUUUUAGCUGGAAGGGCCUUUAAGAGAUACCUGUGUCUGUCUUGGGCCUUAGAGUGAGUAAAGGGACAGCAGGUGGUCAGGCCCUGCCAACAGCAGGAUAUUUUCUGCAGGUGCCCAACAGCAGCCCUGGAGUUGCCUCAGAUCCUCCCACUGGAGGCUUCAUUGCUGUAUCUGCCAUUCCAUCCCUGGCAGGGAUAGGCCAAGGUCUUAGAUACCCUGGCACCCAACACUCCAUACAGGCUUGUCUCUGAGCAGACUCUCGGUGAAGGCUAUUGUGCUAGUCUGAGCAGAACGGGAGGUGCAGGGAUUGCAGCUGUUCCUUCACUGCAGUGUCAGUUUGGAAAUUUUCCCAGAAGACUUAGCUGGUGCCUCUUCUUUGAUAUUCAUGAGUGUGUGAACACAACGACCCUCCUCAUCUUUGUCGAACCCAUUCCUCUUGGACCACACCAAGUAUAGUCCAAAAAGAAGGUGAUUUAGGAGAAGUGUGAAGGCACCCUCAGUUCUGGCAAAUUCUUGGGUAUCCUGCAAUUCUCACUCAGCAGCAUCCCAACAAAACCAGAGAAAAGACCCGGGGCCGGGAGAUGAGCCAGGAAAAUAGCUUCAUGUUUGACUUGAGGGUACAGGCAUCUGCAGAAGCCAGCCUGGAAGACUCUUCAUGAGCCCAGCUGCAAGGGGCAUCCUAGAGCCAGUUCAUGAGCCCAACUUUACAGAGGCAUCAAGCUUCCCCUCCCCUAGAAAGGAAGGCUAUAGAGCAAGCAGAAUGUUUAAGACACAGGCUUUCAAGUGAGGCUGACUUGGAUUAGCGGAACUAAGGAUGACGUGGCCCUGUGCAAGGAACUUAAUAUCUCUGGGCUUCAUUCUUUAUCUGUUUACCUACCCCCAGGUCCUGAAAGUACCACAGAAAUAUCUGUUUUUAUUCAGAGGAUAAUAAAACAGAAUAUUUACAUAUUGCUUCAUAUUCCCCCAGGAUAUUUUUAGAUUACCACAAUAUCCUAAGAGUUUG